GUAAGGAGCCAGCAGGAGGGAAGGGAGGUAUAGGAUGCAGGUGAGGGCUCUGCUUGAGAGAGAAUAAAAACACCCAGCCACUUUGAAACAGCUCACUUAUUAUGUUUAUAAGGUGGCAAGGGGCCUUUUGGAUAAUAUUUGGCAGCAAAAGGGAGCCUGAAGCUGUCCCAUGUGCUCACUUUGGCAGCACAUAUACCAAUAGUUGUCUCAAAGCCUACUACCAUCCUGGCCAAAGAGAAGUUCGAUUGGAUGAGUGAAAUGAAGAUGUAAAUGCUGUGCAAACCCCACACGAAUAAACCUUUGAAUACAGAUGCAAUGGCUUUAUCGACAGUAUAGUUUUACAAGCUGCGGAGUGCUGAAGCUUAAACAUCUGCUUUUCAGACUGAAACAUCUGCAGGCUCCAAUGAACAAUGUGAAGAUAAGGCUACAUAAUGAACUGGGAAGGUGUGGCAAGAUCACUCACAGACCCAUGAAGACUUGUUCCUGCUUUGUAGACUACAUCUUACAUUCUAAAAUCCAAACUUUUAAAAAAAAUAGAUGAGGAUACGCUGGCAUUGAAUGAGUUCUUGGUAGAUGGAAGAGGAAAAAGGUGACAGAGUUGAUGCUGGUCCGGGAAACUGAAAACCAAAACAGCAUUGUGUUCUAGAAGAAGAAAGAGGCCAUGCAUACGUCAUGAAUGGAACAAAGAGCUGGGACAAAGGCAAACACUGCUUUACAAUUUUACCCAGACAGAUGUGGGCACAUGUGCAACAGAGGAAAAAGAGUCCAUUAAAAUUCUCAGUGAAGUGGGUUAGGAUGCAAGCAUGUUUCCUUUUCAGCUUGAUUCAACUGCCAACUUUUUCAGAAAAUGUUAGUUCCAAAUCUCAAA